GCAUGUCUUGAUAGGACCAAGCAAACACAUCUGAAUACUCUCGAAGAAAAUCAAUCAACCCCUUCUUAGCAUCUGGACACAAUCGAGACCCAAUUUUGACUUCCUUCACAUCAUCUUUGGAACCCAAGUUGACUAACUCAAUCUCCUCUUCAAACGGAUGAAUAAUCUUUUCAUCUUGCUCCAGAAGAGGAGACAAUUCCUCACUCACUUCUACAUCAAUUUCCUCAUCGACCUCAAACACAGGGAAU
rnacentral:lncRNA from 1 species